rnacentral:lncRNA from 1 species
AUCCUUCGCCCACUGGGUCGGGUCGUCGGGUUGGAGGCCAAUCUAGGUCAGUAUGGCGUCAUUUUGGAGCCACAGAUCAGACUCCAAACGGCCCCGUUUAGACAUCCCUUGAGAAACAAAAAUAAAAGUAAAAAUAAACCCUAAAAGCUGUUCAGCCAUCCACAAAAAAAGAUAAAGAAAAGAAAUUCUUUGUUCCCCCCUCUCCC